rnacentral:rRNA from 2 species
CAGGUGCGAAAGCGUGGGGAGCAAACAGGAUUAGAUACCCUGGUAGUCCACGCCGUAAACGAUGUCUACUUGGAGGUUGUGCCCUUGAGGCGUGGCUUCCGGAGCUAACGCGUUAAGUAGACCGCCUGGGGAGUACGGCCGCAAGGUUAAAACUCAAAUGAAUUGACGGGGGCCCGCACAAGCGGUGGAGCAUGUGGUUUAAUUCGAUGCAACGCGAAGAACCUUACCUGGUCUUGACAUCCACAGAACUUUCCAGAGAUGGAUUGGUGCCUUCGGGAACUGUGAGACAGGUGCUGCAUGGCUGUCGUCAGCUCGUGUUGUGAAAUGUUGGGUUAAGUCCCGCAACGAGCGCAAC